rnacentral:misc_RNA from 1 species
GAUGAAGAACGUAGCGAAAUGCGAUACGUAGUGUGAAUUGCAGAAUUCAGUGAAUCAUCGAAUCUUUGAACGCACAUUGCGCCCGCUAGUAUUCUGGCGGGCAUGCCUGUUCGAGCGUCAUUUCAACCCCUUAAGCCUCUGUUGCUUAGUGUUGGGAGCCUACGGCGUCCUGCCGUCGCUCCUCAAAUCCAGUGGCGGAGCCGGUUCGCGCUCUAGGCGUAGUAGAUUUUCUCCAUCUCGUCUACGGCCGGGCCGGCCCUCCUGCCGUAAAAAAACCCCCCCUUACAGAAGGUUGACCUCGAAUCAGGUAGGAAUACCCGCUGAACUUAAGCAUAUCAAUAAGCGGAGGA